CUCCUCCCAAAGCGUAACGGAGGAGUACGAAGGUACGCUAGGUACGGUCGGAAAUCGUGCUGAUAGUGCAAUGGCAUAAGCGUGCUUAACUGCGAGACCGACAAGUCGAGCAGGUGCGAAAGCAGGUCAUAGUGAUCCGGUGGUUCUGUAUGGAAGGGCCAUCGCUCAACGGAUAAAAGGUACUCUGGGGAUAACAGGCUGAUACCGCCCAAGAGUUCAUAUCGACGGCGGUGUUUGGCACCUCGAUGUCGGCUCAUCUCAUCCUGGGGCUGUAGCCGGUCCCAAGGGUAUGGCUGUUCGCCAUUUAAAGAGGUACGUGAGCUGGGUUUAAAACGUCGUGAGACAGUUUGGUCCCUAUCUGCCGUGGGCGUUGGAUAUUUGAAGGGGGCUGCUCCUAGUACGAGAGGACCGGAGUGGACGAACCUCUGGUGUACCGGUUGUGACGCCAGUCGCAUCGCCGGGUAGCUAUGUUCGGAAGAGAUAACCGCUGAAAGCAUCUAAGCGGGAAACUCGCCUUAAGAUGAGAUAUCCCUGGAGGCUUGACCUCCUUGAAGGGUCGUUCGAGACCAGGACGUUGAUAGGUCGGGUGUGUAAGCGCAGUAAUGCGUUCAGCUAACCGAUACUAAUUGCCCGUAAGGCUUGAUCCUAUAACA
rnacentral:rRNA from 1 species